rnacentral:rRNA from 1 species
CCUACGGGUGGCAGCAGUAGGGAAUUUUCGUCAAUGGGCGCAAGCCUGAACGAGCAAUGCCGCGUGAACGAGGAAGGUCUUCGGAUCGUAAAGUUCUGUUGAAGGGGAAAAAGAGCGGAGAGAGGAAAUGCUUUCUGAUUGAUAUUACCCUUCGAGGAAGUCACGGCUAACUACGUGCCAGCAGCCGCGGUAAUACGUGGGUGGCGAGCGUUAUCCGGAAUGAUUGGGUGUAAAGGGUGCGUAGGCGGAUUGCUAAGUCUGGAGUGAAAGGGACCGGCUCAACCGGUCCAAGCUCUGGAAACUGGGGAGCGAGAGUGUGAGAGAGGUAUGCGGACGGCGUGGGGUAGCGGGGAAAUGCAUAGAUAUCACGCAGAACGGCGAUUGCGAAGGUAGCAGACGGGUGCACAACGGAGG